rnacentral:rRNA from 1 species
UACAGGGGGGGCAAGCGUUAAUCGGAAUUACUGGGCGUAAAGCGUGCGCAGGCGGUGAUGUAAGACAGGUGUGAAAUCCCCGGGCUUAACCUGGGAACUGCAUUUGUGACUGCAUCGCUGGAGUGCGGCAGAGGGGGAUGGAAUUCCGCGUGUAGCAGUGAAAUGCGUAGAUAUGCGGAGGAACACCGAUGGCGAAGGCAAUCCCCUGGGCCUGCACUGACGCUCAUGCACGAAAGCGUGGGGAGCAAACAGG